CGCUGGUCCAUGAGCACCUUUUCAGCUGUAAUGUUUUGGUGAAUCAAAGCAGGUUUUUUCACUUUGUAUCCAUGCAAAUAGGCUAUACCUUUGGCAAUCCCCCUUACAAUUGAAACUCUGGUGGACCAUUCGAGCACACGGCCAUCGCCAUCCUUCACAUCAAGGCACUGCAGCAAAUUGCCAUUGGGAACAAAAUCAUAAACAAGAAAGCACUCCCCUCGGCCCCUUGAACAACAAAAUCC
rnacentral:misc_RNA from 1 species